rnacentral:lncRNA from 1 species
AUGUUUAAGAAUGGAGUGGCCCUCCACAGUUCUGGGUCAGAGGGAUACCUUGAUCGGGUUCCAUUCAGUCUCUCCUUGGUCCCUCCUAGGCUAGCUCUGGAGAAUUUUCCUUCACACCAACAUCCAUCUUUUACCUGUCCAGGACCCUACACUGGCUCCAGAUAUAAGGGUAGGGAAAACAAGUCCUGCUUAAGAUCUUCUGAGCCAUGGAAAGGGCCAUCUCCAGUCUAGAAGGAAGGAACACAGAUUUAUGAUGAUAGUGAGAGGAAGGCACUGGCCAAGUGAGGUCCUCAUGUUAGAGAACACAAGAGGAUAAUCACUAUAGAUUUUAGGCUCAGGUGACCAGUGAUGCCACAAUUUUGGCUGACACCUAGGAUAAUGACUGAUACCUGCAAAGUUCCUUCCUAAGCUUUACAAGCAUUGCUGUUUAUAGUCUAAAACACUCAGUGUCUCAGAGAAAAUUCGACUUUCCUGAGCUAAGUGUCCCAUACAUGAAGAUGCUGGGGUUGAUCUAGGCAAAGACAUGGCUAUAACUAGAGUGAUGACCUCUGUUGAGGUCCUGGCUUUUUUGUUAUUGCUGCUGUUACUAUUCACAUCAUCUCAUAGACCAGGCAGAAUUCUCCACAUAUUCAUCUUCUUGCUGUUUUCAUUCCAAAAUUUUAAAUCUACCUUGUCCAGGGAAAUUAUUCUUGAUAAUUAAUCUAAUAUAUGACUUCGCCCUUCAAAAACAAAAAGGACUCCUAGGAAACAGAGGAUCUAUAUUUUAUUCAUAUUUAGUCCAAAACCUUGGCCUUCACAGGCCCUCACAUCCAUGCACCAGUCCUUAUUUUAUAUUAAAAUGUAAAAAUUUUGCCUUGAGGUUAUUCUGAGCCACAGAGGACUUUGUACCUGAAAGCCUCCUGCCUGCAUCUGGUUCCGCAGCCUUCCACACACUCCACUGCACAGACCUUAAAUCAUCCAGCACACCCUGCUCUUGUACCUGCCAACAUCAUCCACUGUCUAAAUGCAGCUAGCAGCUGUUUAUUUACAAUUAGAUCUGCCAGCUGGAAAGCAAACAUUCUCCGCUACCGAAUCAAUCAAUGUUACAGGGAGAGAAAAAAAAAUUAGGUACAGCAUGAAAUGGAGGACAGCAACAUCACAUUAUAUUGCAGCUGUCCUUGUGCAAUGCCAUUAGAUGUUCUCAGCACCAAGAAUUCAUAUCACCACAGUCUAUGAUCAGCUGUCUUCCAGGCACAGAUUUGACAUCUAAGAAAUACUGCCUACCAGAAGUGAAGGUUUGGGCAUUGGAAGCCCACGGCCACCAUCUGAUGUCAUGAACACUGUCCUAAGGGGUAGGUCUCUAGCAUGGAAUCAGGGCUUCUGUCCUAAAUUACAAUUAUCAUUUUUGUUUCCUCUUUUAUUCAAGUAGUGAUUACAACCGAACCAUGCAUAUUGACACUGAACUUUCAAAAUAAUAUAUUACCAUGUUGAUUAUUUGAGGGCACUUUCUCAUUUUGGAAACCUCAAAUAAUGAUGAAAAACUCUUCCUCCUUGUAAAGUGGUCCUGCAUAAAUAAAUCCUUCCAUUUCUAUUGGUUUAUGUAUUUACUGAUGUUCAUGACCUUGAUUUGAGUUUGGAUGUUAAUUUAAAAGGCAUAGAUUAAAAUACACUUGACUGAUUUAGACCUUUGACUGUGUGGAUCACAAUAAACUGUGGAAAAUUCUGAAAGAG